rnacentral:rRNA from 1 species
UGAGCCAAGUUUAGGGUUUUCUCAAAACCCAAGCAGUAUUGAACUGAAGAGUUUGAUCAUGGCUCAGAUUGAACGCUGGCGGCAGGCCUAACACAUGCAAGUCGAGCGGAUGAAGGGAGCUUGCUCCUGGAUUCAGCGGCGGACGGGUGAGUAAUGCCUAGGAAUCUGCCUGGUAGUGGGGGA